AUUGAACGCUGGCGGCAUGCUUUACACAUGCAAGUCGAACGCGGUUUGGGGGGCAACUCCUGACUGAGUGGCGAACGGGUGAGUAAUACAUCGGAACGUACCUCGUUGUGGGGGAUAACCCACCGAAAAGGUGGGCUAAUACCGCCAUACGCCCUGAGGGGGAAAGCGGGGGGACCUGAGAGGGCCUCGCGCGAUGGGAGCGGCCGAUGUCGGAUUAGCUAGUAGGUUGGGUAAAGGCUGACCUAGGCGACGAUCCGUAGCUGGUCUGAGAGGAUGAUCAGCCACACUGGGACUGAGACACGGCCCCAGACUCCUACGGGAGGCAGCAGUGGGGAAUUUUGGACAAUGGGCGUCAAGCCUGAUCCAGCCAUGCCGCGUGAGUGAAGAAGGCCU
rnacentral:rRNA from 1 species